rnacentral:lncRNA from 1 species
CAAAUGGCUGAACACAAACACUAAACUUCAUCUUCAUCGCCAUUUCGACUACCUUUCUAUCCACAAUGGAAUAAGGUUUUGAAUAUGACGGAAAGUUUGUUAAUCACCUGAGUUUGAUCAGGGAUAAAGAAGUCGCUGUAAAUGAUUAGCAGGGCACAAUGAUCGUAGAAGAAAGCUAACAACUUUAUUCGCCCUGUUUUUGGUUAGAUAUCAAAGAUUCAUAAUUGCUUUUGUUUCCAAAAUGGAUUAGUUUGGUAACGGGUCAAAACAGGUUCAGGUCAAAUUGUGUAAGUUUUUAAUGCGAGUCCAAACGGUUGAAUGGGUUGUGUUAACCUACCAACAAACGGUUGGAUGGGUUGGAUUGACCAAAGACAUGAAAAAAGGAACUUUUGACAUUUAAGGUUAACCUUA